rnacentral:tRNA from 1 species
GAUUUAGCUCAGUGGUAGAGCACUUGCUUAGCAUGCAAGAGGCUCCUGAGUUCAAAUCCCAGCAAAACA